GAAUAUUGUGAAUUAAGAAAGUGCUGAAAAAUAUACACACAUUUACCCAGCAAAGACUCAUCUAGAAGAACUAGUUAUACACUUAUACGAAAUUCAAGCGGUUAAAUUUAAGUUUAGCCAGUUCCAAUUGAAGAGUGACAUUCGAUCAUCUUCGGAUUUAGCUUAUAAAAGCAACCGCCUAAUAAAUAUUGUACCGAGCUACGAAAUGAGGAAAGCGAGACAGUGAUUCAGAGCUAACUCAACUUUUUAUUUGCCAACACAGAACUGAUCAACAGGCAACUGAGUGCUGCGCUGUUAUAUGAAUCUCCGGUUGCUAUCAGCUGAAGCCACACUCUCUAAUCCAGUUCUCUCCUAUUUCUCAGCACCGUUCCGUUGGUCUCUAGUCGAGGUUACACGCCGAGAGGAUACUUCCCGUCUUUCAUUAAGAAUACCCGACUCCUCUUUUCUAGCACCCCUCCAAACCCUUCUGCUCUCUUUUCUGAAUCUGCUUAUUUCACAAGCUCUGGAUACACCGUUUUUACUAAAUCGAUAUUAAAUCGUAUUUAAUGUGGACUUGUUUUGUGUAUAAUUUGUAAUUGUUAUAAAUUGUUAACUUUCUGUGUAACGCUAACUUAGCUGUUUGCAGUACAUCGUAAAGCUUGUUUAUAAUAUGGCGCACAAUGUGAAUUACGUUUUCCUCAAUUUGAAAUGAUGCAAGUACUAGUAGUAGGGUUGACAUGGCACCAUAAUUUCGGGACACUAAGACAGGUCCGAUUUUAAUCGAUUUUAAAUCAAUAAGUGUCAAUCGCGUGAGCGGCUUCAAUAAUGCGUUCAAUCGUGCAGGGGAUUCUAUCCGGAGAGCUGCAUGACAACGUGUAUUGAAAUUGUAUGUGGUGAACAGUAUCUAUCAACAUAAUGCAAUUCCGUCGAUAUAGAGAACUAGCGGAAGUACCUGGUGUUGCCCGGGGAAAUUUUAAUAUUAAAUAUUUCAUGCAUGACAAAUUGUGGAACGGUACGGCCUUAUGGUUUCCUAUAAGUUACCAAUCUUGGGUGUUACACAAUGCGCUCGGAACACUUUCCUUUAUUUAUUUAUUUUUUUUUUUUUCGGUGUUUGCCAUUGAAAAAGUAAAUAUAUAUUUGUUUGGUUUUGUGGGUUUCUUUAAUUUGAGAUACAUGGCUACUGUAAUGAUCCAGCAAUGGAGUUACUAAAUUAAGUCCCCCGGGGUCAGAAUUUUGGAUCCAAACGCAGCCCUCGACCUUCCACUGAUGAAAGAGGAGGCCAUAUGUGAAUCUGUAAUAUUUCCUCCAGCAUUGUUUUGUGAGAUUUGGACACAUGUAAGUUUUUGGGUAGCAUUAUUGAGACUUGCUACUAUUAAAUGAGUCAAAAUGGUUGUCUGCUGAUGUCACUGAUUGCAAAGAACUCCUCCAGCUGGCUGACACCAUUGGUCUGCACAUCUGUGUGCUGAAGACUCAUGUUGACAUCUUGCAAGAUUUCCAGCCAGAGGUGAUCAAGGAGCUGAACGCAGUGGCAGAAAAGCAUGAGUUUUUGCUGUUUGAGGAUCGGAAGUUUGCAGACAUUGGGAACACAGUGAAACACCAGUAUGAAGGUGGUGUUUACAAGAUGUCUUCCUGGUCUCAUAUAACUAAUGCACAUGUGGUUCCUGGGCUUGGAGUGGUGAAAGAGAGGUGGGAAUGUCUGUGAUUUGGGGAUGCCUGUUGGUUACACAGAUGAGCUCCCAAAGUUCAUUAGCAACUGGGGAUUACACUAAAGCUGCAGAGAUGAUCUGGGCCAGCAGUAUUUGAGCCCUGAAGAAGUAAUCGGUAAGAAUAGCGCUGAUAUCAUCAUUGUGGAAAGAGGAAUUCUGGCAGCCUCAGAUCGAGUGGAAGAUGCACAGACCUAUAGAAAAGCAGGCUGGGAGGUUUAUCUAAAGAGGCUUUCUGUGCCUGGAGAGCUGCUGUAGUCAGCAGAAUGAGCAUGGAGACAAUCCAUCCUGCAGCAAAGAGGAUAAGCGACCAGGUUUAUAAGGCAAAACUUUCUUUUGGCGCCUUCUUUUUAUGCUUACUAUUGAAGGGAACAACAUAUUUUAUUUAAAUGUAAAUAAUACUGAAGACAAAUGCUACCAAUGACAAUUAAAAUAAAAUCUGUACUGAUGAAAAAAUAAUGCCUCAUCUGCUUUGCUUCGUGAAGCAAUUCCCAACUGCUUCCUAAUAAGAUGAAAUAGAAAUUCCUCUAUUUUCCACAAACAUAUAUAUAUGUGUGUGUGUGUGUGUACCUAAGACUUUCAAUACUGUAUAUUACUUGCACUACCCUUUCCAUU